rnacentral:lncRNA from 1 species
AUGGCUGACAUCUGGAACUCACUUGCAAGCUUUUCUCAUUCGAAUAUUGGUAGCCACAGCUCUCUACUCUCCUUCUCUCCAAGACGUAGCCACGCUUUCUCUAUCCACACCUCAUGGAACAGAGGAAGGAGAUGUUGGAAUGCGGAACGAUGGCAGGGCAGCUGCAGUGGCCUCCACACAGCCAGAGCAAUACUAAUGCAGUCGGUUUUGUCAUCUCUCCAAGGGACCAUAUGGCUUUCUUCAUGUGCCACUGCACCUUUAUCUCAGCAGAAUCCUAAAGCCCACAAAUGCCCCAUCACUGUGCACUUUGCAGCAGGGACACCCCACAGGCUCCUAGGCACUGCUGCCUGGAGUACUGGAUGGAGCCUCAUCAGACCAUCCAGCUCCAAGAAACCACGCCACGUCAGAUAUUGCCAAGCCAAACACACCAGGUUGAUCAAAAGUGAGUUCAGUAUUUAUGGUCAUAUGUAUGUUGUAGUGAAGCUAUUUGUAAGACCAAGAUUGAUUACCUAG